rnacentral:rRNA from 1 species
UACGUAGGCAGCGAGCGUUGUUCGGAGUUACUGGGUGUAAAGCGCGUGUAGGCGGGAGGCCAAGUCUGCUGUGAAAUCGCCCGGCUCAACUGGGCGGGGUCGGUGGAAACUGGUCACCUGGAGGACGGUAGAGGCGAGUGGAAUUCCCGGUGUAGUGGUGAAAUGCGUAGAGAUCGGGAGGAACACCAGUGGCGAAGGCGGCUCGCUGGGCCGGACCUGACGCUGAGACGCGAAGGCGUGGGGAGCGAACGGG